ACGAAGGCUCAUAUCCGGCAACAUUGAUGCCUUCAGGUAGCUUAUGUGGGUUUAUUGACCAGUUGCCAUCGCCCAAAAAGAUCACGUGCUCGUGACGCCUGCGGCAGAAAGGAUGUUCCACAUCCGCCGCCAUGGUUUGUGAGUGGUGGC